rnacentral:rRNA from 1 species
AGUCGAGCCUGCCCGGUGAAUAUUUUUAACGGCCGCGGUACUCUGACCGUGCAAAGGUAGCAUAAUCAUUUGCCUUAUAAUUGAAGGCUAGUAUGAAUGGUUUGACAAGAAUAUAGCUGUCUCUAUAUAAUUUGAUAGAAUUUUAUUUUUAGGUGAAAAAGCCUUAAUGUAAUUAAAAGACAAGAAGACCCUAUCGAGCUUUAAAUAAAUUAGUAGGUGUAAUAAAAUUAUAUUAAUUAAAAAAAUAGCUAUUAAAGAUUUUGGUUGGGGCGACUAAGGAACAUGAAAAGCUUCCUUUAUAAAUUAUAUUUUAAACAUACUGGUGUUGAUCCAUAUUUUGUGAUUAAAGGAAUUAGUUACCGUAGGGAUAACAGCAUUAUCUUUUUUGAGAGUUCUUAUCGAAAAAAAGGUUUGUGACCUCGAUGUUGGACCAGAAUGUCCUAAAGAUGUAGACGUCUUUAAGGGUUGGUCUGUUCGACCAUUAAAAUUCUA